rnacentral:rRNA from 1 species
UUCCUACGGGGCGCAGCAGUGGGGAAUAUUGCACAAUGGGGGAAACCCUGAUGCAGCGACUCCGCGUGAGUGAAGAAGUAUUUCGGUAUGUAAAGCUCUAUCAGCAGGGAAGAUAAUGACGGUACCUGACUAAGAAGCCCCGGCUAACUACGUGCCAGCAGCCGCGGUAAUACGGAGGAUGCGAGCGUUAUCCGGAUUUAUUGGGUGUAAAGGGAGCGUAGACGGCAGGACAAGUCUGGAGUGAAAGCCCGGGGCCCAACCCCGGGACUGCUUUGGAAACUGCCAUGCUAGAGUGCUGGAGAGGU